AUAGGAAUCAAUCCACUUGAGAAUAUGUGUCACCACUAGUUCUAUCCAAAUUUCUCAUUCAAAGGUUCAAUUGGACAUAUCUGCAUAAGUUCACCCACACAAAUUAUCAUUUCCUUCAUAUCACAUUGAUUGGCCCUCAUCAAUAUUUGAAGCAGGACUUCAACGGAGAUGACAAAGACCAGAUAAUUAUAUUUUUAUUAUGUAUAUGAUCUAUAAUUAAUACAAACUCCUUGAAAAGAAUUGAAAAUAUUAAUCGUUAUAUGCAGAAUAAUUAUAAUUUCUGAAAUUGUAUUCCAUAUGUCGCUAUUGAAAUUAAAUAACUGAAAUAUU